UACGGAGGGAGCUAGCGUUGUUCGGAAUUACUGGGCGUAAAGGGCGCGUAGGCGGCCUGUUAAGUCGAACGUGAAAUCCCCGGGCUCAACCCGGGAACUGCGUCCGAUACUGGCAGGCUUGAAUUCGGGAGAGGGAUGUGGAAUUCCAGGUGUAGCGGUGAAAUGCGUAGAUAUCUGGAGGAACACCGGUGGCGAAGGCGGCAUCCUGGACCGAUAUUGACGCUGACUGCGCGAAAGCCAGGGGAGUAAACGGGAUU
rnacentral:rRNA from 1 species